AACGGAGGCGCCCAAAGGUUCCCUCAGAAUGGUUGGAAAUCAUUCGCAGAGUGCAAAGGCACAAGGGAGCUUGACUGCGAGACCUACAAGUCGAGCAGGGACGAAAGUCGGGCUUAGUGAUCCGGCGGUUCCGCAUGGAAGGGCCGUCGCUCAACGGAUAAAAGCUACCCCGGGGAUAACAGGCUUAUCUCCCCCAAGAGUCCACAUCGACGGGGAGGUUUGGCACCUCGAUGUCGGCUCAUCGCAUCCUGGGGCUGUAGUCGGUCCCAAGGGUUGGGCUGUUCGCCCAUUAAAGCGGUACGCGAGCUGGGUUCAGAACGUCGUGAGACAGUUCGGUCCCUAUCCGUCGUGGGCGUUGGAAAUUUGAGAGGAGCUGUCCUUAGUACGAGAGGACCGGGAUGGACGCACCGCUGGUGCACCAGUUGUUCCACCAGGAGCACUGCUGGGUAGCUACGUGCGGAAGGGAUAAGUGCUGAAAGCAUCUAAGCAUGAAGCCCACCUCAAGAUGAGAUUUCCCAUCAUUUUAAAUGAGUAAGAUCCCUUGUAGACGACAAGGUUGAUAGGUCCGAGG
rnacentral:ncRNA from 1 species